GGGGAUGUAGCUCAAAUGGUAGAGCGCUCGCUUUGCAUGCGAGAGGUACGGGGUUCCGAUCCCCCGCAUCUCCA